AUUGAACGCUGGCGGCAUGCCUUACACAUGCAAGUCGAACGGCAGCACGGGAGCAAUCCUGGUGGCGAGUGGCGAACGGGUGAGUAAUAUAUCGGAACGUGCCCAGUCGUGGGGGAUAACGCAGCGAGAGCUGUGCUAAUACCGCAUACGAUCUAUGGAUGAAAGCGGGGGAUCGCAAGACCUCGCGCGAUUGGAGCGGCCGAUAUCAGAUUAGCUAGUUGGUGAGGUAAAGGCUCACCAAGGCGACGAUCUGUAGCUGGUCUGAGAGGACGACCAGCCACACUGGAACUGAGACACGGUCCAGACUCCUACGGGAGGCAGCAGUGGGGAAUUUUGGACAAUGGGCGCAAGCCUGAUCCAGCAAUGCCGCGUGCAGGAUGAGGGCCUUCGGGUUGUAAACUGCUUUUGUACGGAGCGAAAAGGCUUCUCCUAAUACGAGGGGCUCAUGACGGUACCGUAAGAAUAAGCACCGGCUAACUACGUGCCAGCAGCCGCAGUAA
rnacentral:rRNA from 1 species